rnacentral:rRNA from 1 species
GACGAACGCUGGCGGCGUGCUUAACACAUGCAAGUCGAACGGAAAGGCCCUGCUUUUGUGGGGCGCUCGAGUGGCGAACGGGUGAGUAACACGUGAGUAACCUGCCCUUGACUUUGGGAUAACUUCAGGAAACUGGGGCUAAUACCGGAUAGGAGCUCCUGCUGCAUGGUGGGGGUUGGAAAGUUUCGGCGGUUGGGGAUGGACUCGCGGCUUAUCAGCUUGUUGGUGGGGUAGUGGCUUACCAAGGCUUUGACGGGUAGCCGGCCUGAGAGGGUGACCGGCCACAUUGGGACUGAGAUACGGCCCAGACUCCUACGGGAGGCAGCAGUGGGGAAUAUUGCACAAUGGGCGGAAGCCUGAUGCAGCAACGCCGCGUGCGGGAUGACGGCCUUGGGUUGUAAACCGCUUUCGCCUGUGACGAAGCGUGAGUGACGGUAAUGGGUAAAGAAGCACCGGCUAACUACGUG